AACGCGAAGAACCUUACCUGGUCUUGACAUCCACGGAAGUUUUCAGAGAUGAGAAUGUGCCUUCGGGAACCGUGAGACAGGUGCUGCAUGGCUGUCGUCAGCUCGUGUUGUGAAAUGUUGGGUUAAGUCCCGCAACGGGCGCAACCCUUAUCCUUUGUUGCCAGCGGUCCGGCCGGGAACUCAAAGGAGACUGCCAGUGAUAAACUGGAGGAAGGUGGGGGUGACGUCAAGUCAUCAUGGCCCUUACGACCAGGGCUACACACGUGCUACAAUGGCGCAUACAAAGAGAAGCGACCUCGCGAGAGCAAGCGGACCUCAUAAAGUGCGUCGUAGUCCGGAUUGGAGUCUGCAACUCGACUCCAUGAAGUCGGAAUCGCUAGUAAUCGUGGAUCAGAAUGCCACGGUGAAUACGUUCCCGGGCCUUGUACACACCG
rnacentral:rRNA from 1 species